ACCUGCCUACUAGAGGGGAAUAACAGUGAGAAAUCAUUGCUAAUACCGCAUAUGCCAUGAACAUCACAUGAUGAAAAUGGGAAAAGAGUAAUCUACUAGUAGAUGGGCUCGCGUCUGAUUAGAUAGUUGGUGGGGUAACGGCCUACCAAGUCAACGAUCAGUAGCCGGACUGAGAGGUUGAACGGCCACAUUGGGACUGAGAUACGGCCCAGACUCCUACGGGAGGCAGCAGUCGGGAAUAUUGCGCAAUGGAGGAAACUUUGACGCAGUGACGCCGCGUAUAGGAAGAAGGUUUUCGGAUUGUAAACUAUUGUCGUUAGGGAAGAUACAAGACAGUACCUAAGGAGGAAGCUCCGGCUAACUACGUGCCAGCAGCCGCGGUAAUACGUAGGGAGCAAGCGUUAUCCGGAUUUAUUGGGUGUAAAGGGUGCG
rnacentral:rRNA from 1 species